rnacentral:rRNA from 1 species
GACGAACGCUGGCGGCGUGCCUAAUACAUGCAAGUAGAACGCACAGUUUAUACCGUAGCUUGCUACACCAUAGACUGUGAGUUGCGAACGGGUGAGUAACGCGUAGGUAACCUGCCUGGUAGCGGGGGAUAACUACUGGAAACGAUAGCUAAUACCGCAUAAUAUUGAUUAUUGCAUGAAAAUUGAUUGAAAGAUGCUAUUGCAUCACUACUAGAUGGACCUGCGGUGUAUUAGCUAGUAGGGGAGGUAACGGCUCACCUAGGCGACGGUACAUAGCCGACCUGGGAGGGUGGUCGGCCAAACUGGGACGUAGACACGGCCCAGACUCCUACGGGGGGCAGCAGUAGGGAAUCUUCGGCAAUGGACGGAAGUCUGACCGAGCAACGCCGCGGGGGUGAAGAAGGGUUUCGGAUCGGAAAGCUCUGUUGUAAGAGAAGAACGGGUGGGAGAGUGGAAAGUUCACACUGUGACGGUAUCUUAACAGAAAGCGACGGCUAACUACGUG